rnacentral:rRNA from 1 species
GGUUCGAUUCUGGCUCCAGAUUGAACGCUGGCGGGAUGCUUCUGCAUGCAAGUCGAACGGCAGCACGGACUUCGGUCUGGUGGCGAGUGGCGAACGGGUGAGUAAUGUAUCGGAACGUGCCUAGUAGCGGGGAUAACUACGCGAAAGCGUAGCUAAUACCGCAUACGCCCUUCGGGGAAAAGCGGGGGACCUUCGGGCCUCUCGCACUAUUAGAGCGGCCGAUAUCGGAUUAGCUAGUUGGUGGGGUAACGGCUCACCAAGGCGACGAUCCGUAGCUGGUUUGAAGGACGACCAGCCACACUGGGACUGAGACACGGCCAGACUCCUACAGGAGGCAGCAGUGGGGAAUUUUGGACAAUGGGGGAAACCCUGAUCAGCCAUCCCGCGUGUGCGAUGAAGGCCUUCGGGUUGUAAAGCACUUUUUUUGGCAGGAAAGAAACGGCACGGGAUAAUACCCGUGCAACUGGUACCUGCAGAAUAAGCACCGGCUAACUACGUGCCAGCAGCCGCGGUAAUACGUAGGGUGCAAGCGUUAAUCGGAAUUACUGGGCGUAAAGCGUGCGCAGGCAGUUCGGAAGAAGAUGUGAAAUCCCAGAGCUUAACUUUGGAACUGCAUUUUUAACUACCGAGCUAGAAGAUGUGUCAGAGGAGGUGGAAUUCCGCGUGUAGCAGUGAAAUGCGUAGAUAUGCGGAGAACACCGAUGGCGAAGGCAGCCUCCUGGGAUAACACUGACGCUCAUGCGAAAGCGUGGGGAACAAACAGGAUUAGAUACCCUGGUAGUCCACGCCCUAAACGAUAUCAACCAGCUGUUGGGGCCUUCGGGCCUUGGUAGCGCAGCUAACGCGUGAAGUUGACCACCUGGGAAGUACAGUCGCAAGAUUAAAACUCAAAGGAAUUGACGGGGACCCGCACAAGCGGUGGAUGAUGUGGAUUAAUUCGAUGCAACGCGAAAAACCUUACCUACCCUUGACAUGUCUGGAAUCCCGAAGAGAUUUGGGAGUGCUCGCAAGAGAACCGGAACACAGGUGCUGCAUGGCUGUCGUCAGCUCGUGUCGUGAGAUGUUGGGUUAAGUCCCGCAACGAGCGCAACCCUUGUCAUUAGUUGCUACGAAAGGGCACUCUAAUGAGACUGCCGGUGACAAACCGGAGGAAGGUGGGGAUGACGUCAAGUCCUCAUGGCCCUUAUGGGUAGGGCUUCACACGUCAUACAAUGGUCGGAACAGAGGGUCGCCAACCCGCGAGAGAGGCCAAUCCCGAAACCCGAUCGUAGUCCGGAUCGCAGUCUGCAACUCGACUGCGUGAAGUCGGAAUCGCUAGUAAUCGCGGAUCAGCAUGUCGCGGUGAAUACGUUCCCGGGUCUUGUACACACCGCCCGUCACACCAUGGGAGUGGGUUUUACCAGAAGUAGUUAGCCUAACCGUAAGGAGGGCGAUUACCACGUGGGUUCAUGACUGGGGUGAAGUCGUAACAAGGUAG